rnacentral:rRNA from 1 species
GACGAACGCUGGCGGCGUGCUUAACACAUGCAAGUCGAACGGAAAGGCCCUGCUUUUGUGGGGUGCUCGAGUGGCGAACGGGUGAGUAACACGUGAGUAACCUGCCCUUGACUUUGGGAUAACUUCAGGAAACUGGGGCUAAUACCGGAUAGGAGCUCCUGCUGCAUGGUGGGGGUUGGAAAGUUUCGGCGGUUGGGGAUGGACGCGCGGCUUAUCAGCUUGUUGGUGGGGGAGUGGCUUACCAAGGCUUUGACGGGUAGCCGGCCUGAGAGGGUGACCGGCCACAUUGGGACUGCGGUACGGCCCAGACUCCUACGGGAGGCAGCAGUGGGGAAUAUUGCACAAUGGGCGGAAGCCUGAUGCAGCAACGCCGCGUGCGGGAUGACGGCCUUCGGGUUGUAAACCGCUUUCGCCUGUGACGAAGCGUGAGUGACGGUAAUGGGUAAAGAAGCACCGGCUAACUACGUG